UACGUAGGGGGCAAGCGUUGUCCGGAUUUAUUGGGCGUAAAGAGCGUGUAGGCGGCCAGGUAGGUCCGUUGUGAAAACUCGAGGCUCAACCUCGAGACGUCGGCGGAAACCCUCUGGCUAGAGUCCGGAAGAGGAGAGUGGGAAUUCCUGGUGUAGCGGUGAAAUGCGCAGAUAUCGAGGAAGAACACCCGUGGCGAAGGCGGCUCUCUGGGACGGUACUGACGCUGAGACGCGAAGCGUGGGGAGCAAACAGG
rnacentral:rRNA from 1 species